rnacentral:snoRNA from 10 species
GUGCCCUUUUAAGGUUGACCCAGUGCUUUAAGAGGCUAACACAGAAGGGUAAAGUAAGUCUCCAUAAAACCCAGAGAAGAGACUGGAAAGCUCCUCUUUGGAUCCUGUCUGGAGUCACAACU